AUGAUGAAAUUCCCAAAAAAAUCCAAACAAUUUGUGAAACCGUUCCCUUGUACACCUCUCCAUCUUUUUUUCUUUUUCCUCGUCUUUUUUUGCCUUUUCUGCCUCCUCAAAAAGAAGAGGAAGAAGUGUACAUGGGCGCUAACAGCCCAAAAAUUCCCAAAAAAAUGGUCAAAU
rnacentral:ribozyme from 14 species